rnacentral:rRNA from 1 species
UACGUAGGGGGCAAGCGUUGUCCGGAUUUAUUGGGCGUAAAGAGCGUGUAGGCGGCUUGGUAGGUCCGCUGUGAAAACUCGAGGCUCAACCUCGAGAUGUCGGCGGAAACCACUUGGCUAGAGUCCGGAAGAGGAGAGUGGAAUUCCUGGUGUAGCGGUGAAAUGCGUAGAUAUCUGGAGGAACACCGGUGGCGAAGGCGACAUCCUGGACCGGUAUUGACGCUGAGUGAGCGAAAGCCAGGGGAGCAAACGGG